rnacentral:rRNA from 1 species
CCUACGGGUGGCAGCAGUGGGGAAUCUUGGACAAUGGGCGAAAGCCUGAUCCAGCAAUAUCGCGUGGGUGAUGAAGGCCCUUUUGGUUGUAAAGCCCUUUUAUCGGGGAGGAUAAUGACAGUACCCGAAGAAAAAGUCCCGGCUAACUCCGUGCCAGCAGCCGCGGUAAUACGGGGGGGACUAGUGUUAUUCGGAAUGACUGGGCGUAAAGGGUGUGUAGGCGGUCUAAAAAGUUGAAAGUGAAAUCUCAAAGCUUAACUUUGAAAGUGCUUUCAAAACUGCUAGACUAGAGUAUGAGAGAGGAUAGUGGAAUUUCUAGUGUAGAAAUAAAAUCCAUAGAUAUUAGAAGGAACACCUAAAGCGAAGGCAACUAUCUGGCUCAAAACUGACGCUGAUACACGAAAGCAUGGGGAGCAAACAGGAUUAGAUACCCUAGUAGU